UACGUAGGGGGCUAGCGUUGUCCGGAAUCAUUGGGCGUAAAGAGCGUGUAGGCGGCCCGGUAAGUCCGCUGUGAAAGUCGGGGGCUCAACCCUCGAAUGCCGGUGGAUACUGUCGGGCUAGAGUGCGGAAGAGGCGAGUGGAAUUCCUGGUGUAGCGGUGGAAUGCGCAGAUAUCAGGAGGAACACCUAUAGCGAAGGCAGCUUGCUGGGACGUUACUGACGCUAAGGCGCGAGAGCGUGGGGAGCGAACAGG
rnacentral:rRNA from 1 species